GCCUGGGUGGCUCAGUCGGUUGAGUGUCCGACUUUGGCUCAGGUCAUGAUCUCGUGGUCUGUGAGUUCGAGCCCCACUUUAGGCU
rnacentral:tRNA from 1 species